CCAAGGGAGUUCAGGAACCACACCCGCUGACCCGACACCACGCUUGGCCGCUUGGCCCCUCCCCACAGGGGGCGGCCCCAGAUCGGGCCCCGCCCCUGGCGCUCGCGGCCGCGUCCCUGGCAGCCCCGGCGGCCGUUUCCUGCCUGCGUCGCUGGGCGGGCGGCCGGCCCAUCUGGCGGCCCCCAAGAGGCGGCGCGGGGAGGCGGCCCAGACUCGCUGGAGCCAGGCGCCGGCCCGCGCCCCCCGCCCGCCCGGAGAGCCCAGGUGUGGCCGCGGCGGGGGUGGGGGUGGUGCCUUCCUUCCCGCUCGGCCCUUCCUGACGCACCCGCGGGCAGGAUGCGUCCGCCUCCCAAGACCCGGCCUGGAGUCGCGGAGGGAAUCCCAGCGGUGGGAAAGCCGGCGGGGGUCGGAGCACCCCUCCCCAGUAUCCACUCCUUGUGAGACCCCGGCAUCCGAAAGUUGGACAUUACUGCCCAGCCCUCCAUGACCACCAAUGCUCCCAAGGGCCUGAAGACCCCGUGAGACGUGACCCCGCUUCCUUCUCCAGUGUACCUGACCUGCCCUACUGUGAUAGGAAGGAGGACCUGAUUUUGGUCCUCCUUGUCACCUCCAGCCACAGGACCUCUGCACCGGCAGUUUCUGCUGCCUGCGAUGCUCUUCCCACCUUUGCCUAGACUCCUCCUCCUUGGACCUCUGCUCAGUUUUAUUUCUCCGGGGAAGCCUUCCCUGGCACGGAGCCAGGCCCCCUUGUUAUCCACUCUCAAGGCCCCCUGCCAUGCCCUGCAGCAUUCUCUGGCAAUGUGGAGUGGAACACUGCUAUAUCAUUGCAGACUUCAGCCUCUCUGCUGCUAGGCUGUGAACUUCAUGAGGGCUGGGUCCACGGCUGUCUUCGUCACUGCUCUAUUCCUGGCAUUUCAGGAGGAGGCCUGAUGAAGAGACUGAGGAUCAGAGGAGGGAAAGGACUGCCCUAAUCACACAGCUGGCCAGGAUGUGGCUCCAGGUGCCUCUGUCUCUAAGUCACCAGCACCAGGCUGGGCAAGUGUCCCUGCACAGAGGACCACCUCUCCAGCCAGUAUGGGAGCUCCCAACCGGAUCCUCGAGUCUAGCCCAGGCAGCAGGCUAGGCUGCCACCUGGUGGCCUCUGGGGGAAUGGCUCCGGGCUUGGAAUCUGGGCUGGGAGCAGAGACCUCCCAGACGACUCUGAGUUCGUCCCCCAGGCCAGGCCCAGUCACUCUUGGAGACCUUCUUGUCAGGAAAUCAAGCAGGACUUCUGCAACCUGCCCACAGUCCUGCUUUGAACAGAUGGGGGAGUCUGGACUUCCUCCCCCCUGAGUCCCCUUGGCCUUCAUUUCACCCAGCCUCUCCCACUGCCGGGGGUUCAGAGCCUGGGCUUGGUUUCCACAUGUCACAAUCUGGGAUCCUUGCUCUAGCACAUGCUUGCCAUGUGGCACCUGACUUCCAAUUCCCUUACCUGCUCGUGAGGACCCUCGGGAAGAACUGAAUGGAGACUGGUGUACGGGAAGGGCCCUGCUUUCCAGUACUCAGCAAGCCCAUCUGCUGGCGGUCUCCUCCUUGUUGCCCCCUCCUCAGGUCUCAAUAAAAGCUCUCAGCCCUCA